rnacentral:rRNA from 1 species
GUCUACGGCCACGCCACCCUGAACAAGCCCGAUGUCUGAUCUCGGAAGCUAAGCAGGGUCGGGCCUGGUUAGUACUUGGAUGGGAGACCACCUAGGAAGACCAGGUGCUGUCGGCG